GACUCGGGCUCCUGCAGCUUCUGCGGGGCUUGGCGCCGCCGUCCGUGAGCACCCAGGCCGGGACCCCACAUCCCCAGGCCAGCCCUGACCCCGGCGGCCCCUCCGCCGGGAUUCCUUUCCGAGGUACUGGUGCCGGCCCAAGACCCGGGCAGCGCUUUGUCGUGUCCGCCCCUCAGUGAUCAGCUCCGGGUCCCCCUGCUCGGCCCCGCGCGCCCCAAGCGCAGUCCCCGGAAGUGCGCGCCGGGGCCCCAGCAAAGAAGAGAAGAAGGAGAGUGGCCACGUUGAUUCAGCCAAGCACCUCCAGGAGGUCCCCUCUGGAUGUCCCAUGAGGCUGCCCCUCAGCCACAGCCCAGAGCACGUGGAGAUGGCUUUGCUCAGCAACAUCCUAGCGGCCUAUUCCUUUGUCUCAGGUGUGUCUUUGAGAAGAUGAGAAGAUCGCAGACCUGUAUUCUAAACUGGAAUGGUUCUAAAGAAAAGGU
rnacentral:lncRNA from 1 species